rnacentral:rRNA from 1 species
AAAUGAAUAGACGGGGGCUCACACAAGCGGUGGAGCAUGUGGCUUAAUUCGAAGCAACGCGAAGAACCUUAUCCAAGGCUUGACAUGUAUGGAUUAGUUCUGGGAAACCAGAAUGACACUCUUGUAGUGGAACAUACACAGGUGCUGCAUGGCUGUCGUCAGCUCGUGCUGUGAAGUGUCGGGUUAAGUCCCUUAACGAGCGAAACCCCUAUCGUUAGUUGCUACCAGGUAAUGCUGAGGACUCUAACGAGACUGCCGGUGUCAAACCGGAGGAAGGUGGGGAUGACGUCAAGUCCUCAUGGCCCUUAUGCCUUGGGCUGCACACGUGCUACAAUGGCGUGGUACAAAGCGAAGCAAGACCGCAAGGUGGAGCAAAUCGCAUAAAACACGCCCCAGUUCGGAUUGAGGUCUGCAACUCGACCUCAUGAAGUUGGAAUCGCUAGUAAUCGUGGAUCAGCUACGCCACGGUGAAUAUGUUCCUGAGCCUUGUACACACCGCCCGU